ensembl:lncRNA
GUAGAACCGGUGAGUUCGAGGCGAACAUUGUGCGGCCGACCAUCGACCUCUAAAGCCUCACAUGGUCUGAGGAAGAAGCCCGUAAGAAGAGGAGGAAGAGGAAAGAGGAGUAAGAAAUGGCUCUUUCUCAGGCCUCUCACUGCUGUGGCCUCUCCUGCCGCGGAGCACAGGCUCCGGACGCGCAGGCCCAGCAGCCAUGGCUCACGGGCCCAGCCGCUCCGCGGCAUGUGGGAUCUUCCCGGACCGGGGCACGAACCCGCGUCCCCUGCAUCGGCAGGCGGACUCCCAACCACUGCGCCACGAGGGAAGCCCAUAAUGUUCCUCUUUGCUGCUGUUAUCAUCUUCAUAAUUGGAGGUCUUGAGCUUUCUUUAUAGAGCCACUGUGGACUCUGUUGUCUCUGAAGACACCACUCACGUUCCUCCACCUCCGCGAGGAUGAUUAUCCCUCAGUGUCUAGAACGUAAUAUCUAACACUUCCACAUGGACAACACGGUGUUGAAUUUUUAUUUGCAUAUAUUUUAUGUAUUGCCCACAAGAAUGAGAAGGGUAAAUCGAUUUGAAGGAUAUUGUAAUCUCUAUGACAGAGCAUAAGAAAUUAAAAUUAGACACCCAGGUAGCUUCAAAUACCUUUCCAUGGAUCUGUCAGAAUACAUACUUCAACCUAAUUGAUCUUUUACCUCUACUCAUUUCGUAUGGAAAUAAGAACUCUCCUCACGUCCUCUUGGUGAAAUGUUUUUUUAUUUAAGGGACAGUUGACAUUGAAUGAUGUGGCCAUCGAAUUCUCUCCAGAAGAGUGGGAAUGCCUGGACCUUGCUCAGAGGGCCUUGUACAGGGACGUGAUGUUGGAGACCUACAGGAACCUGAUCUCUGUGGGUGAGGAUAACUUCCCUCCAAAAGUCGGGAGGGUAUCUUUGCAUUUUCCCUGGUUUGCCUUUUGGAAUCCCCUGCCUUGCGUAACUGAGCUCAAAGCCACGUUGACUGAGGCAUGAAAAGCUUCUUGAUUUAGCAUCAGGAGUUUAAACAUGCCCUUUCUUCAGAUGAUCUGGCCACUUCGCGGUGCACCAGGAGUUUUUUAAGUGAUUAAGUGUGUCUAAUGCCCAAGUGGAAACUUUUAAAAUAUUUCAUUCCCUGUGCUCUACCUCUGUGCUCUUGAUUCAGUACCUACUGGAAGAGAGUUAGAUGUCUGCAUAUUCCAUCGUUCCCUCUGCAUUGAGAAGGAGGCAAGCGGUCGAUGAGUUUGUGAAAUAUGUUUCCAGACCCACCGCAGCAUUAGUAGUGUCUGGGAAACUCUACCAAAUGGGAGAGUUGUUUGCGAAAACAGAAAUCUAUUCGUUGUCAAGUCUGAGAGGAAAUUUUUCUUCUCCCUUAGUUAUCACUCGGUCCCUCAACAUGUAAAAUGUAUUCUUUCCCCCUCCAGUGGUGUGGGAGCUCCACCAAAGACAAAGGCAGUCUUUAUCAUGAUCUGCUGCACUCGGCUAUCUGGCCCCUGUGAACUUGUUGCUGCUUGAUCUUGAGAGCGUGAACAGUUUUUUUUUUUUUGCAGUACGCGGGCCUCUCACUGCUGUGGCCUCUCCCGUUGUGGAGCACAGGCUCCGGACGCGCAGGCUCAGAGGCCAUGGCUCACGGGCCCAGCCGCUCCGCGGCAUGUGAGAUCUUCCCGGACCGGGGCACGAACCCGUGUCCCCUGCAUUGGCAGGCAGACACUAAACCACUGCGCCACCAGGGAAGCCCCAACACGGUUGUUUUAAAGGGGUCUGUUGCUCCCUCAGCUCUCCUUUUGGACUUGAUUCCCUUGGAUGCUCAGUUCUCAGUCCCUAUAGAUCAGAGCUGAUGCCUCCAGACUCCAGCCCCUGAGCCUUUCUGGGUUCCACCCCCAUCUUGUGUUCUUUGAAGACCUAAUCAGAAGAUGGGAAAACACUGGGUGCUCUUUCAUUCCAUCUGGCACCUCAGAACCUGCAAGGAGCUGUCUCAAGCCCUGCCUGCUUGUUUUGCUACCUCAGCCAUUUACUCCUUUGACUAAUAUCUCCACAUUCUGCUAUCGGAGUUUGGUAACAGCUGUUCUACUUUAAGUUGCUCUUAGUAUGCCUUUUUUUAAAAUUUUACUUUAUUUUUAUUUAUGUAUUUUUUUAUUGGCUGCACUGGGUCUUCAUCGUGGCGCGCAGGCUUCUCUAGUUGUGGCUGGCAGGCUCCAGAGCUCGCGGGCUCAGUUGAGGCAGCACUUGGGUUUAUUUACCUCUUGGCAUGUGAGAUCUUAGUUCCCCGACCAGGGAGCGAACCUGCGUCCCUUGCAAUGGAAGGCGAAUUCUUAACCACUGGACCACCAGGGAAGUCCCAGCAUGCCUCUUUUUUAAAAAAUAUAUUUUGCACAUAAAUGGGAUCAUACAGUUUUAUUCUUUCUCUGAAUAAUUUUACUGCGUAUAUACCCUCGUUGUCCAUCUGUGCUGUUAAAAAUAGCAGGACUUUUUUCUUCUUUAUGUAUAAAUGAAAUUGCAUUCUGUGUAUCUCCCAGAUUUGUUCCCCAUCCAUCUGUUGGACAGUUAGGUUGUUUCAAUGCCUGGGCAAUUGUGAUUACUGCUGUUAUGAAUGUGGGAGUGCAGGUAUCUUUUUUUUUUUUAAUAAAUUUAUUUAUUUUACUUAUUUAUUUUUGGCUGCAUUGGGUCUUUGUUGCUGCGCACGGGCUUUUUCUAGUUGCGGCGAGCGGGGGCUACUCUUCCUUGUGGUGUGCGGGCUUCUCAUUGCGGUGGCUUCUCUUGUUGCGGAGCACGGUCCCUAGGUGCGCGGGCUUCAGUAGUUUUGGCUCGUGGGCUGUAGAGUGCAGGCUCGGUAGUUGUGGCGCGCGGGCUUAGUUGCUCCACAGCAUAUGGGAUCUUCCCAGACCAGGGCUUGAACCCGUGUCCCGGGCAUUGGCAGGCGGAUUCUUAACCACUGCGGCACCAGGGAAGCCAAAAAUGUAGGUAUCUUUUAAGACAGUGAUUUCAUUUUGUUUGAUACAUUCCCCAUAAUGUAAUUGCUGCAUUCUAUUAUAGUUUUGUUCUUUUUACAGUAUUCUGGAGAGCUUUUGUACUUUUCAGUUUCUUUGUAUCUGUAUGUUUUUAUAUGGAAGAAACUCUUUUUGAUGGCCUUAUUGUAGUUUUUCCUUUAGGUUUCGGCUAAAACAUUCUUUCACAUCUCCUGGGAUAUUAUGUAUGUACUUUGUGAUUAUAUGCAUAGAAAUGGGGCCUAUGGAAUAUUCAGUUUGAUACCUUAUGUAGCAAAUAAUGUAAUAAAUGUAAACCUGCUUUAUUGC